CAGAUCAUCCCGUACUACACUUACAUUCAUUAAGGAAUAAACAAACAAAUAAAGAAGCAUUGCAAACACGGAUAAAUUCCAUUUGCGAGAACCCUAUAUCGGAUAAGCUACGCUCUCACCCAUAAUAACCCGAACGCCCCUUCCGCUACAGGCCAUCCUGUUCCAGCUGCCUCCGUAUUUACUUAAGGGUGUGUUCGAGAUUUAGUCCGUUUGAGUGAUGAUGUAAUGGUGCUCAAACAAAAAUCCCACAGCAAACCCUAUAGCUGAGCGAGUGAGGGGGGGGGAGGGGGAAAAAAUUAAAUACAGAAAACUGUAUUUUUUUUCUAAUGAAAGGACGGUAGACUCUAGCUCGGGAUUCGACCUGACGAGUCCGUUAGCCACGAGUGGACGCGUUUUCAUUGGGCGCAUAAGACAACUGCUGAGAGCGUGUUGGGAAUAAACGCACGGCGUAUGAAAAGAAUUCGGCGGACACCUCGUGCCUACUCGAAUCAGCCCCUACUGCAGAGCAGGCUCGGUCAUAACACGCUCUUCCUUAAGUUCCUAUGAUGAUGAGUCUUUAUUGGUCACGUAUAUAUAUGCACAGUGAGAUUCUUUUCUUCGCAUACCCCUGCAUGUUAGGAAGUUGGGGUCAGAGUGCAGGGUCAGCCAUGAUACAGCACCCCCUGGAGGAGAGAGGGUUAAGCGCCUUGCUCACGGGCCUCAACAGUGGCAGCUUGUUAGUGCUAGGGCUUCCGAUCACUAACCCGGCGCCUUAACCGUCAAGCCCCCACUGCCCCUGAAUGAUCACGACACGUCUCCGCUUCGAGAGUAAUACAGAGUCGGCGUUUAUCAGCUUAAUCAAUAAUAAUGAGUCGUCACCACUGUAUCUUGUUGCCCGUGUGUGUUUUACAGAGCACUCGCACUGCAGCGACGUGACGCGUCGAACCGGCCUCGGGUUCGCCAGCACGGAUGAAAAUCCUGCCCCGGGGGUUUGCGGGAGUGAGGGCGGUGUGAAGCGACGUGAAGAAGAGCGGAAAAAAAGGAAGAAGGUUAGGAAUCGACCUCGUGCUCAUGCAGACGAGAAGCAAAUACCACCAGACUGUGGCCGAUGAGAGGGUAUUUAUGUGCCGGGGUUCUAAUUGGAGCGAGACACGCGCGCGCUCACUGCCAAGGAAUCAGACUGAAGUGGCAAAACAUGAUGAGAGCACCACGACACGUGAUAGAGACUUUUUAUACGAGCCCUAAGCCACCCAAUCCCUACCUCCCAGUACCACUUCAAUCAGAUCAGCUAAAUGCGCUUGUUUUAUUAGCAACCCGUUCCAACGCGGCCAAAAUGCCGAUGAAGGAGAUGUUCCACUUCGCGUGAACGUGGCAUUCGUCAGCUCAGGCUAACAGCCUCGAAGGCGUAUAGUAGUACUAACUUAAUCUCUCGCUCUCUUUUUCUUUUUGUUUUAUCUACUUGAGCACAUCCGAUAGAAGCGGUCUUAUAGAAACCUUAAGAGUAAUAAUAACGUAUCUCAGUACGUCGGUCAUGAUGGGCUGUGUGUGUGUGUGUCUCCUUCGCGGUCCUCAAUUCACCCAUGACAAAAUAUCGCCUCCUGUGAAUAUCGAGCUACAAAUGGUUCCGCUCGUAUAUAGAGGGUAUGCACUGACGCUAAGAAAACGACGAUCGGCUUAAAUUAAAGGCAGCCGAACUCGACAGUGACCCUUACAACUUGCCCAAGAACCCGUGCUCCACGGACGUUGGCACGUGGCCAGAAAUCGGGUUUCCCGAUGUACCUGAAGCUCGAAUGCGCAUAAAAGCCUUUUGGCGCUUGGUCCUACUUCGAGGUGGGAUUUCUCGGAGAAACGCACCGCCGACGAACAUCCUGGUUGGAUGUACAAAUAUCUGUAUUUUAUUCCAUGGUUUUUCUUUGAUCGUAGAAUUUUCAUUGAAAGUUUACAUUUUACAUGACACCCCAACAAACAACCACGGCCAAAACCAAAAGAAAGGGGGAAACAAACAAACAAACAAAAAACAAUAAACAAACAACCAGAGAAAAAAACAAACAAAAACAUAAAACCCCAAAACAACAACAACAACAAAAAGGGGUAAGAUGAUCAGGAAUUACAGUCCGCUUUUCCUCGAUCCACCACCAGGGUGCGCACAUCAUUGAAGUAGGUAAUAAAUUGCGCCCAUUUUCCCCAGAAUGAGUCACCCCUGCCUCUGAUGCUGUACUUGAUUUUCUCAGGUUUUAAAAAGAAGAUUAAAUCUUUAAUCCAGACUGAUAUAGAGGGGGGUUGUGGAGAGCUCCAAGACGACAGUAUUCUGCGCCGAGCAAGUGACGACGCAAAGGCCGCAACACUGGCUUCUUUAUGGUUCAGAGGUAUUUAUCCUAUCAUUUUACCCGUAAGCUAGCUAGUCGUAGUUUAUUGUCGCUAGCGCUGCUUCCACUUACUAACGCUAUAUAUAUAUUUGCGAAGGUCAGACCCGGUCGGAGAAUGAACGCGCCCCCGGUUAUUCGUCGAUGGAAACGGGCAGCGUUUAAAAAGAAGAAGAAGGGAGCAACGCCGGUCCUGCUGGUUUCCAUCGGCUCGUGUUUGUGUUAACGUCCACCUAGAUGAACUCGACAUCCAUCGCUGCCGGAAGCGAAAUUCUUUCUCUCCCCCCCCCUCCCCCCUCGAAUCCUGCUUCAAGAUAAUUGGCUUUUCUCACCAGAUACAGUGUUGCAUCAGACGAAGGAAGAUGUACAGAAACACCAAUUUUCCGAAACACCGAUUUCGAUUUCAGGGACACUUUAGACACCACGAGGUAAUGAGGAGACCACGGGCCCUGUUCCCACUAGUGCGUUUUAAAAUGAGAACGAUCCUCGUCCGCACCGGCGUUUCUGCCGCGUUUCCGAAACGAUCUCCGCCCACACUACACGACCGAAAACGCGUGUCACAUGACCAUUCAUGCACACACAGGAAGUCGGUUGCUAGUCGAAACCGGCGUUCCACGUAGGGAUUACGCCGCUUUGUUGUCGAUCGCUGUAAUCGUCGCUCGCCUCGUGCGCUUGUAGGCAGCUGCUGUGUUAUGAAAUACAGAAUGUAACUGCACAAGGGCUGCUCGGAAUGACGACAAAGCCUGCAAAGCCUGCGGUUCAGUCUCCGUGUUGUUGUGUAUAUGAUCGACGUAGCGUAACGGUCAUUCUGUAGGGGCUCGACGAAUCAGGGACGGAUACGCGACGACCCAGAAGACCCAAUCGGGGAGCGAGUGUGGGCGGAGCCACGCCUUCGUUUUCGGUCUGUUUACACUGAAACGCGAGCGCGGAGUUCUCAAACUAAAACGGGAUCUUCUGCGUUUCCAAAACUUUCCGGAGUAGUGCAGACGACCGGCGUGACCGUAGCAACGGGAAAACAUUUUUACUUGUUGCUAUCUAGUUGCAACCCCUUCGAGUCCUACAUUAUUAUUAUUAUUAUUCAGUAACUACAACGAAUCAUUCAGUAUUGAAACUAGUAAGAAAUGUCUGCAGCUAAGACAGUGAGGAAUGUACAUCUGUACACCUCCUGAGCAGUUCAGAGACUGACCGAACGGUACGAUAUCAUUACGUCUAGACUUCGUAUGUCAGAAACGUAAAACUGGUUUUUCUUCGUCUCAUGCCUUCUCUCAGGCUGUGGAGGGCGGUUUAUUUCCUCACUGUAUCGUUAACACAAUCUCUCUUGUUCUUGGUGCUCUGACCUCCGGUGACCUGGCCCUGAGCAGGUCAAUGAGACAGCAGUUCCUCACACACGCACACACACACACACACACACACACACACAGCAGCCACCUGCGCUCACUCAUAAACCGUCAGCUCGUUCCUCCUAUGCACGUCAGGAGCUGUUCUACACAUCGAACGCGUUAACGAGCCACCGAAUGGAUGUAAACAAUGCGAGUCCCUACACGACUGCUUCUCACAACCAAGUGCUAUUCUUAUUACACCUAAGCGAUCCAUUAAGGAUCGUAACGAGCGAUGUGGCUGAAGUUACACGUCGGAAAAUCACCGCUUCCUUUACCGAGCAGUCGGGAAUUUCCAGAGGAAGAUCGGUGCAGUUUGGAUAGCUCGUGAGACACUGCGCCACACCGUCAUAAUAUUACGUGUUAAUAAGGCAACGUCCGUAAAUCCCCGUAAACUAUCGACGGUCACGUUAAUGUCUUCCAGAACCUGGAGCUCAGACGGUCCAGACGUGCCUCAUAACUACAUACCGUUCCUAUUAGUUUCACUCGUUCAAAAAAAUUAUUCACAGUAGUUGCUUUAUACCACAGCACUGUUGAACUCUCGAAGGUGAUUGGUCAGGAGGCAGUGACUCAGGUUCUAUAACAUAACAGCAGCUCUGAUAGACCCAGACGCGUCCGUAUUAACGGGCUCGUUCUAAAAUAUUUAACGUUUCUAUAGCAACAGCUCAUUCACGGGGACUCGUAUGGCAGACAAGCCACGUGAUACGUCUCUUCAAAAAAUUUCGAUUCGUGGACGUUUUCUGUAAGGAGACGUUGAUUUCGAGUUUAUUGGAGGAGUCUCCGGUGUCAGUGCUUUGUAGGUUUUCCACUACAGGAAAGUCUUCAGGACAGAGGGCUUCGCGGCUUCGCUAACGUGAUCCUUAUUAACGUCGACGGGGGGCCGGGGAGGGGCUGAGCGAUUGUAGCAGUUAUAACGCAAGAACUAACUUGUCUCGCAGACGUUGCGCAACAUGUGACUAUUUACAGUUAGAAGCACAAUGUGUCGUUCAUUCAUAAAUUAAUACUCAUUGCUGGUUUUGUAAAAUCAUCAACUUCGGGGAGGUAAGAGGCGUCCGGGUCGCGUCAAUCCGACUCCGCGUUGAUUAUUUUCCUGUAACAGCACUGUCGUGUUUUAGUAAGGACUUAAAGUAAGCGAAUGAGUAAUGCGCAGUAACUGUAAGGAGUUCACGACAAGCCUACUUUAUGCCGACAAAAACGAGGGAUGCACUGAUUUGAUGCACAGUGUUUCAGUAUUGGGUUAUCAUUCGAUAUCGGUAUCAGACUGGCUCCGAUAUCUUUUUUAAUACCAACCCAGCGACGUAUAUUACGCCAUGAACGUGUGAGAAGUUGACCGACACAACCCAUGACGUCUCACACGGAGUUCACGUGUCAACACAGAAGUAGCGGCCGAUGCUCUCACUAUAUUUGUGUGAGCGUGUGUGUGAGAACCAAAAAAAGAUGAUAUUUGCCAAGUCAUAAGAAUGUCAUGUCAUCAUCCAUAACGUCGUUGUUGCUCGGAGAUCACAACAGACGUGUUCCCAUCCCAGCUGCACAUUUAAAAAUUGGAACGUCGCAUAGAACAUUUGCAAAUAAAGUGUUCAAGAGAAAAGAAUCGUCGUUUCCAGGGGAACUGGUUCACCUCUCUCACGUGCUCUCUCUCUGCCUACACUUUUCUGAGUCAAUUAUCCCGUCACAUGAUUUGUUGAGGCAAAGUCACAUGACUUUAGUCGGAUUAAGGUCAUCGAUAAUCGCUGUUUACAUGCUAGUUUCUUAAUCGGGUUGAUAUCGGAUUAUUGUUGUCCAUGUAAACGUAUUGAAUAUCGCGGUGAGAAUGAACGAUAUAUUGCUCAGCCCUAGCACUAACAACGUCACACUGGGUUUGGGUUUUGUUUGUUUGUUUUAUUUUUUAAUUUCUUCCCACAGGUGUAUAAGGACUGAAGAGCUGUCAUUAUGAACCCAUGCUCCAUGAGCUAUAUGAGAACAUGUGUGAGAGGGAGAGGAACUUGGGCACUUUGCAGAUUUAGAGGCAAACAAAACAGCACAAGUUCUUCCUGGAAACCGUCCAACACGUCCUCACACACACACACACACACACACACACACACGGAGAGAGACACAGUGACGCCGAGAAACCGGGCAAGAUUUAAAACACCACGCACUUCAGUGCUUAAAUAAUGUGAAAAUAAUAAUAACAAAAAUUAUCAUAAUAAUAAUAAUAAUAAUAAUAAUAAUAAUAGUAUGACAGUAUGUCUUUGUAAACAUUCCAAUACGAACGAGGGCGAGAGAAAACAAAAUCACAGCCCAUUGAAACCCAGCAACAGUUGGAGCAACAACUGCUAACAGAUCUCUAAAGUCGCCAUACAAGUCUGAUCAAGUAGUUUAUCAUCCCGAAUCACGCACUUUAUUAUCAGACUGUCUGAAUCCGCGGAUAAAAAUAGUUCUCCUGUAAUCUCUUUACUUACCGAAAAGCCAGGCAAGGAGAAGCUUUUCCCGAUUUGAUGUCCGCUUGAAAAAGUUUUUCUUAAUUUUCCCCCGUUGGUCCUUCUUUGCUUUAAUCCGAGUUCUUCAGUUUUGUGCAGGUAAAAAUCCAACGGUUUUUAUUAUUGUUAUUAUUAUUAAACCGCAGGAUUAACAGUAACUCUACCGCUUUCACAAACACAAACACGCGCGCGAGACUAAAAGCGGUGUGAGUUCACUGUAGUUUAGUUUAGACGGGUGUGUGUGUGUGAGGGGGGAAACGAUUUAAACACUAAAGAUUUCAACAGCUGUGCACACUUGGAGUCAUUUAAGUUAAUAUAUUUAACCGAGUAGUUUCUUAGGUUAAAUCUAAACAGAAUAGCCACAGCUCUAACAACCGCUCUCAGGCUUUCCGUCCUUUGCCUUUCUCCUAGAGACCACUACCAGGUGCUCAUUUGCAUAACUGCUCUCAUCGCGUCCAAUCACCGCGCGCUGAUUUAAAUAUUC
ensembl:lncRNA